GCCCCAGUAACGGCGAAGUGAAGCGGCAACAGCUCAAAUUUGAAAUCUGGCCUCGUGCCCGAGUUGUAAUUUGUAGAGGAUGCUUUUGGCGACGCGCCUUCCGAGUUCCCUGGAACGGGACGCCAUAGAGGGUGAGAGCCCCGUCCGGUCGUGCGCCUAGCCUCUGUAAAGCUCCUUCGACGAGUCGAGUAGUUUGGGAAUGCUGCUCUAAAUGGGAGGUAUACGUCUUCUAAAGCUAAAUACCGGCCAGAGACCGAUAGCGCACAAGUAGAGUGAUCGAAAGAUGAAAAGCACUUUGAAAAGAGGGUUAAAUAGUACGUGAAAUUGCUGAAAGGGAAGCGCUUAUGACCAGACUUGGGCGCGGCGGAUCAUCCGGCGUUCUCGCCGGUGCACUCCACCGCCCCAGGCCAGCAUCAGUUCGCGCCGGGGGAUAAAGGCUUCGGGAAUGUGGCUCUCUCGGGAGUGUUAUAGCCCGCUGCGUAAUACCCUGGUGCGGACUGAGGUCCGCGCUCUGCAAGGAUGCUGGCGUAAUGGUCAUCAGUGACCCGUCUUGAAACACGGACCAAGGAGUCGUCUUCGUAUGCGAGUGUUCGGGUGUCAAACCCCUACGCGGAAUGAAAGUGAACGUAGGAGAGAGCUUCGGCGCAUCUCCGACCGAUCCUGAUGUUCUCGGAUGGAUUUGAGUAAGAGCAUACGGGGCCGGACCCGAAAGAAGGUGAACUAUGCCUGUGUAGGGUGAAGCCAGAGGAAACUCUGGUGGAGGCUCGCAGCGGUUCUGACGUGCAAAUCGAUCGUCAAACAUGGGCAUGGGGGCGAAAGACUAAUCGAACCUUCUAGUAGCUGGUUUCCGCCGAAGUUUCCCUCAGGAUAGCAGUGUUGAACUCAGUUUUAUGAGGUAAAGCGAAUGAUUAGGGACCCGGGGGCGCUAUAUUGCCUUCAUCCAUUCUCAAACUUUAAAUAUGUAAGAAGCUCUUGUUGCUUAGUUGAACGUGAGCAUUCGAAUGUAUCAACACUAGUGGGCCAUUUUUGGUAAGCAGAACUGGCGAUGCGGGAUGAACCGAACGCGAGGUUAAGGUGCCAGAGUAGACGCUCAUCAGACACCACAAAAGGUGUUAGUACAUCUUGACAGCAGGACGGUGGCCAUGGAAGUCGGAAUCCGCUAAGGACUGUGUAACAACUCACCUGCCGAAUGUACUAGCCCUGAAAAUGGAUGGCGCUCAAGCGUCUCACCCAUACCUCGCCCUCAGGGUAGAAACGAUGCCCUGAGGAGUAGGCG
rnacentral:rRNA from 1 species